rnacentral:rRNA from 1 species
AUUGAACGCUGGCGGCAGGCCUAACGCAUGCAAGUCGAACGGUAGCACAGAGAGCUUGCUCUCGGGUGACGAGUGGCGGACGGGUGAGUAACGUCUGGGAAACUGCCCGAUGGAGGGGGAUAACUACUGGAAACGGUAGCCAAUACCGCAUAACGUCGCAAGACCAAAGUGGGGGACCUUCGGGCCUCACACCAUCGGAUGUGCCCAGAUGGGAUUAGCUAGUAGGUGGGGUAAUGGCUCACCUAGGCGACGAUCCCUAGCUGGUCUGAGAGGAUGACCAGCCACACUGGAACGGAGACACGGUCCAGACUCCUACGGGAGGCAGCAGUGGGGAAUAUUGCACAAUGGGCGCAAGCCUGAUGCAGCCAUGCCGCGUGUAUGAAGAAGGCCUUCGGGUUGUAAAGUACUUUCAGCGGGGAGGAAGGCGGUGAAGUUAAUAGCUUCACCGAUUGACGUUACCCGCAGAAGAAGCACCGGCUAACUCCGUGCCAGCAGCCGCCGUAA